rnacentral:tRNA from 1 species
GUUAGUCUAGUUUAUAAAAAUGUUUCUUUGUGGCAGAAAAGAUAGCCUGCUGUGCUGGCUAAU